rnacentral:rRNA from 1 species
UGGGGAAUAUUGCACAAUGGGCGCAAGCCUGAUGCAGCCAUGCCGCGUGUAUGAAGAAGGCCUUCGGGUUGUAAAGUACUUUCAGCGGGGAGGAAGGGAGUAAAGUUAAUACCUUUGUUCAUUGACGUUACCCGCAGAAGAAGCACCGGCUAACUCCGUGCCAGCAGCCGCGGUAAUACGGAGGGUGCAAGCGUUAAUCGGAAUUACUGGGCGUAAAGCGCACGCAGGCGGUUUGUUAAGUCAGAUGUGAAAUCCUCGGGCUCAACCUGGGAACUGCAUCUGAUACUGGCAAGCUUGAGUCUCGUAGAGGGGGGUAGAAUUCCAGGUGUAGCGGUGAAAUGCGUAGAGAUCUGGAGGAAUACCGGUGGCGAAGGCGGCCCCCUGGACGAAGACUGACGCUCAGGUGCGAAAGCGUGGGGAGCAAACAGG